GGACAGUUGUUUGGACUUUCGCUAACUUAAAAUACACCUUAAAUAUUAAAAACGAAUCUUCAGAUUAUAACAUUUUAAAGAAUUUUAUUAAUUUUGAAAAUGUUUUCUUUUCAUUUUCCCCGUGUUGUACCCAAGAAUCCGCAGUUAAAAUUAAUGAUCAAGCUGACCAUCUACUCACUUAACGAAGUAUUUAUGAACAGAAGAAUAAUUACUUUAAAAAUAUCUUGAAUAAAGUUCAUUCAUAUUUAUGUUUAAAGUCAUUGGAUACGCACGUCUUUCUUGUAGUGGGAUGGAAAGGAUAUUUAUUUGUGUCUUUAAGUGGUGUUUCGGGAGAGUAAAAGAAAAACUAGUAUUUAUGCAUAUAUGUUAAUGGAUUAUAUGUAUUUUCGUUCGAUAAAUAUUGGAUAUAGAAUCGUCUGAGAAAAGUGAAAUGGUACAACUAGAAUGAAUUUCCAGAUGCACAGAACAUGCAGAAGAGGAAUGGGACUCAAUGGAAAAUAUUCGUUUUUACCCACUUGGAUACUAUCCGUGACAAAAUUUCAGCCAAGAUUUGCAUCGGAAAACAAAUUGUGAAUUAUAUUGUUGAAUUUUAGUGAAUACGAUACUAUAAUUUACAAGAUAGAAUAACGACUCGCAAAUAAAAGCUGUUUUUUUUUU